GGGUAUCUUGUUGGGAAUCUCUGCUUACUAGAGCCCUUCCAAAGUGGCCAUUUUGAUGAGGGCUCAGCACUAAGAUGAGUUUUGGCUUAGAGAAUUAUCUGCUUAAUUUCAAUCUUGUGGACCAGGACCCUUUUCCUCCAUUCCCACAUUUCUCAUGGACCUCACAAAGGCCAAAUAAACAGCUGAAAUGUGACUGGACACCCAACAGCCUUCACACAUUGAGUUUGGAGGAUAGAUGACAAAAUUCAGAAUGCAUCCAUGUAACCAGAUAUGUCCUCAUCUCUAAUAUCUCAUCUGGGCAGGUACAGAAAGGGCCAUUGUCAGCAAAUAAACGAUGAAAUGUCAGACAAUCAUUCCAAAACUGGUCUAAGUCACUUAGGAACAUAAGUGUUGUUCUCAAGAACGAUAGGGAUGCUUAGAUACUAACACAUACCAUUUUUAAUAAUAGAUUUUAAGAAGUAAUUAUUUACCUGAGGAGAUUAUGUGAC